rnacentral:rRNA from 1 species
CACGUAGUUAGCCGGCGCUUUUUCUGCAGGUACCGUCACUUUCGCUUCUUCCCUGCUAAAAGAGGUUUACAACCCGAAGGCCGUCGUCCCUCACGCGGCGUUGCUGCAUCAGGCUUGCGCCCAUUGCGCAAUAUUCCCCACUGCUGCCUCCCGUAGGAGUCUGGGCCGUGUCUCAGUCCCAGUGUGGCCGGUCACCCUCUCAGGCCGGCUACCCGUCGACGCCUUGGUGAGCCAUUACCUCACCAACAAGCUGAUAGGCCGCGAGCCCAUCCCCAACCGAAAUUCUUUCCAGACGCAGACCAUGCGGUCACGUCACAUAUCCAGUAUUAGACGACCGUUUCCAGCGCUUAUCCCAGAGUCAGGGGCAGGUUGCUCACGUGUUACUCACCCGUUCGCCACUGAUCCCACAGAGCAAGCUCGUGUUCACCGUUCGACUUGCAUGUGUUAAGCACGCCGCCAGCGUUCAUCCUGAGCCCAGGAUCCAAAACUCGUCUAGG